UGGGGAAUAUUGGACAAUGGUCGAAAGCCUGAUCCAGCCAUGCCGCGUGUGUGAAGAAGGCCUUUUGGUUGUAAAGCACUUUAAGCGAGGAGGAGGCUACUUGGAUUAAUACUCUAGGAUAGUGGACGUUACUCGCAGAAUAAGCACCGGCUAACUCUGUGCCAGCAGCCGCGGUAAUACAGAGGGUGCGAGCGUUAAUCGGGUUUACUGGGCGUAAAGCGUGCGUAGGCGGCUUCUUAAGUCGGAUGUGAAAUCCCUGAGCUUAACUUAGGAAUUGCAUUGGAUACUGGGAUGCUAGAGGAUGGGAGAGGAUGGUAGAAUUCCAGGUGUAGCGGUGAAAUGCGUAGAGAUCUGGAGGAAUACCGAUGGCGAAGGCGGCCAUCUGGCUUAAUACUGACGCUGAGGUACGAAAGCGUGGGGAGCAAACAGG
rnacentral:rRNA from 1 species